rnacentral:misc_RNA from 1 species
AAAAUGCGAUAAGUAAUGUGAAUUGCAGAAUUCAGUGAAUCAUCGAAUCUUUGAACGCACAUUGCGCCCGCCAGUAUUCUGGCGGGCAUGCCUGUUCGAGCGUCAUUUCAACCCUCAAGCCCAGCUUGGUGUUGGGAUCUGUGUGCAAACACAGUCCCCAAAUUGAUUGGCGGUCACGUCGAGCUUCCAUAGCGUAGUAAUUUACACAUCGUUACUGGUAAUCGUCGCGGCCACGCCGUUAAACCCCAACUUCUGAAUGUUGACCUCGGAUCAGGUAGGAAUACCCGCUGAACUUAA